rnacentral:rRNA from 1 species
AGAGUUUGAUUAUGGCUCAGGAUGAACGCUGGCGGCGUGCCUUAGACAUGCAAGCCGAACGAAGCACCAUUUUCUGAUCGCUUCGGUGUGAAGAGCUUGGUGACUUAGUGGCGAACGGGUGAGUAACACGUGAGUGACCUGCCCCGAAGUGCGGCAUAACAGGGGGAAACCCUUGCUAAUUCCGCAUGUGCUCCCACCUCCUGUGGUGUGAGUAAAGAUUUAUCGCUUCGGGAUGGGCUCGCGGUCCAUCAGCUAGUUGGUAGGGUAAUGGCCUACCAAGGCUACGACGGAUAGCCGGCCUGAGAGGGUGUACGGCCACAGGGACACUGAGAUACGGGUCCCACUCCUACGGGAGGCAGCAGUUAGGAAUCUUCCACAAUGGGCGCAAGCCUGAUGGAGCGACGCCGCGUGAAGGAUGAAGGUCCUCGGAUCGUAAACUUCUAAAAGAGGGACGAUAAUGACGGUACCUCUUGAAAAGCACCGGCUAACUCCGUGCCAGCAGCCGCGGUAAUACGGAGGGUGCUAGCGUUAUCCGGAAUCACUGGGCGUAAAGGGCGCGUAGGCGGUCUGUUAAGUCCGAUGUUAAAGACUGGGGCUCAACCCCAGCAUUGCGUUGGAUACUGGCAGGCUUGACGGUUGGAGAGGCAAGUGGAAUUACCAGUGUAGCGGUGGAAUGCGUAGAUACUGGUAGGAACACCCACUGCGAAGGCAGCUUGCUGGACAACACGUGACGCUGAGGGCGCGAAAGUGUGGGGAGCAAACCGGAUUAGAUACCCGGGUAGUCCACACCCCUAAACGAUGCAUACUUGGUGUUUGGCCCGUUGGGGUCAGCGCCGGAGCUAACCGCGUUAAGUAUGCCGCCUGGGAAGUACGGCCGCAAGGUUGAAACUCAAAUGAAUUGACGG